UACGGAGGGGGCGAGCGUUAUUCGGAAUUAUUGGGCGUAAAGGGCGCGUAGGCGGCUUGAUGUGUCAAAGGUGAAAUCCCUCGGCUCAACUGAGGAACUGCCUUUGAAACUGUCUGGCUUGAGGCCGGGAGAGGGUAGCGGAAUUCCCAGUGUAGAGGUGAAAUUCGUAGAUAUUGGGAAGAACACCAGUGGCGAAGGCGGCUAACUGGUCCAGUACUGACGCUGAGGUGCGAAAGCGUGGGGAGCAAACAGG
rnacentral:rRNA from 1 species